GUUGAACGCUGGCGGCAUGCCUAACACAUGCAAGUCGAGCGGAUGAAGGGAGCUUUCGCCUGGAUUCAGCGUCGGGCGGGGGAGUAAUGCCUAUGAAUCUGCCUGGUAGUGGGGUAUAACGUCCGGAAACGAGCGCUAAUACCGCAUACUUCCUGAGGGAGAAAGUGGGGGGGCGUCGGACCGCACGCUAGCAGAUGAGCCUAGGUCGGAUUGGCUAGUUGGUGGGGUAAAUGCCUUCCAAGGCGACGAUCCGUAACUGGUCUGAGAGGCUGAUAAGUCACAUUGGAACGGGGACACGGUCCAGGAUACUAAGGGAGGGCGCAGUGGGGUAUAUUGGACAAUGGGGGAAAGCCUGAUACAGCCAUGCGGAGUGUGUGAAGACGGUCUUCGGAUUGUAAAGAAGUCUAAGUUGGGAGGAACGGCAGUAAGUUAAUACCUUGCUGUUUUGACGUUAACAACAGAAUAAGCACCGGCUAACUUCGUG
rnacentral:rRNA from 1 species